rnacentral:rRNA from 1 species
CUCAGGAUGAACGCUAGCGGGAGGCCUAACACAUGCAAGCCGAGCGGUAGAGAUUUCUUCGGAAUCUUGAGAGCGGCGUACGGGUGCGAACACGUGUGCAACCUACCUUUAUCUGGAGGAUAGCCUUUCGAAAGGAAGAUUAAUACUCCAUAAUAUAUUGAUUGGCAUCAAUUGAUAUUGAAAGCUCCGGCGGAUAGAGAUGGGCACGCGCAAGAUUAGUUAGUUGGUGAGGUAACGGCUCACCAAGACGAUGAUCUUUAGGGGCCUGAGAGGGUGAUCCCCCACACUGGUACUGAGACACGGACCAGACUCCUACGGGAGGCAGCAGUGAGGAAUAUUGGUCAAAUGGGUGCAAGCCUGAACCAGCCAUCCCGCGUGAAGGACGACUGCCCCUAUGGGUUGUAAACUUCUUUUGUAUAGGGAUAAACCUACCCUCGUGAGGGUAGCUGAAGGUACUAUACGAAUAAGCACCGGCUAACUCCGUG